GCUUGGCUUGCAGCCGGGCCACAUGUGGGAGUGUGUGAGGCGGAGGCUCCCAGGACUCGCAGACCUCGUCUGGCAACUGCUGCGCUGGGCCUGCGCGGAGAGUAGCUUGUGAACACUUUAGGGGCUGUGGCGAAAUAGCAGGAGCAAAAUGCUGAUGUAGAAGAGAGAAGAUGGGAUCAAGUGCAUAAGAUUUGCCCUUAAAUGGGAUCUCAGAGUUCAUCAACCCUAUGGAGAUGGACGGCAGAGAGCCUGGCACAUACACUGAACCUUGAGUUUGGCAGUUCAGAGGGAAUGCAGUGGAGUGAGUGUGAUGCUGAGGAGGAGGAUACUCCAGAGGCGCCAAAACAAGGAGGCACAUACCCGCCUGAUGUGUUCCCAGCAGCUGCAAACAGUUCGAUGCUGCCGCAGCAGAAUAUUUCAGUUAUUAAGGAUCCUGAAGUAACAGAUAAGAAUCCUGGAGAAGCUCACCCAUCCCUUCAUCCUUCUACUACAAUAAAAGAGGCUUCAUAUAACUGCUUGAGAAGAGACUUCAAACACUUUCCAUGCCAUUGUUGCUAUUGUGGGAUUGGUUGCUUGUCAAAGAUAUAUUUUAUUUUUCAACAUUCCUAACCAGGGAUUUUUUUGUUCACUGAGUUUACCAGGCUUUGAUCGUUACAAGCAGAAGAUAAGCUAGCAGACCACAUAUUGGAGUCUUGACUAUCCAGGACAAAGAGGUGUACAGGGACUCCAGGAACUGGCAAAACAAAAGGACAGGUCAGCAGGUGCAUGAGUGUUCUGCCCGUGAGCAUUCUUUGCCACCUGCUGCUGUGCCCAGCCAGUGGUCCCCGUAGCUGCUAACAAGAUCAUGACAAUUCAGAGCUCCACUAGGUCUGGCCUGGGUAGUCAAUGAAGUCUCCAGGGGAAAGAAAAGAAUGUUCUUACCUGAACUCCUCAUUGGCCUGGACUCAUUACUGGCUUCUCUAUAGUUGGACUAAAGCAACAGGAUAGCAAUUUAGGGAUGGCUGCUCUAAGCACAUCAGGGCACAUUUGCAGAGCAGAUGCAGUGGCACCAAGUUCAAGGGAACCCCUUAAGUGCCUCCUACUAGCAAUGUGGGUUUCAACCAGACCAUCCCAACAAGCUUCCUAAAAAGUGCAGAUGAUAACGCAAUAGCAGUUUCCAUGAGCUCUCACAGGUGAUGCAGUAUCUGAGGGAUUGGGCUAACACGGGGGCUGGGGUGGAAAAACAGCAGAAGAAAUAGCCACACUCAGCUCCUGGCCCAGAAAUCACCUGCUUCUCCUCCCAGCUCUGGCUUCACAAGCCACUCCCAUUCUUCAAUCUGCUUAUUGGUGCACAGGUCCCACUAUGUGCCAGGCAUGAGGCUGAGUGCUUUCCAUACUUUAUCUUAUAUAAUCCUCACAAUUCUGUGACAUAAAUAUUAGUAUCCCCCUUUCUCGGAUGCAGAAACUGAGGCUCUCAGUAUGGUUAAGUAUCUUGCCCAAGGUUAUGACAUAGAGCUGGGAUUCAGACUCAGGCUUUCUGACUCCAGACCUGCCCUCUGAACCCCUCACCCUUGCUCUUCAAAGUGGAGGCCCCAGAGCAGGGAUAUUGGCAGCAGCAGGAGGUAUCAGUAAUCACCUGGAGUUGUUAAAAAUGCAAUCUCCAAUCCCUCUGCCACGCUCCACAUGGAAAGAGAAUCUGCAUUUUAACAAGAUCCCUGGGAGAUUCAUGUACUUAUUAAUCUAGGGAGGAACCAGCUAGCUCCAGGCUUGCUCCCCAAUACUGUGCCUCUCCCCCACUUCCACUCCCAGUCCACGUCCAUCCCUGGGGACCAGGGAGUGCUGGAGGGAGGGAACGGGAUGGGACAGACGUGCAACUAGAGGAUGAGAUCGUAUACUAUGAGUAGCAGGGUCCGAAUCGGGUGCCCAGCUGAGUCUCAUUACUUCCAGAGAUGUAACGACUUCUGUUACUAUUUCCCAAGCCUGGCAAUGUUUCAUGAUGCUAAUGGGCUUCCGCACUCCUCCUUCUAAUGUUUCUCUUCAGUGCUUGAAUCGCCACCAGGGCAAAGCCACCUACUACUGGCCUCUGUUUCUCAGAGACUUUUAACAGCUGUAGAGCCCAUUUCAAUGCAGACCUGGUCCCUUUAAUAAGCGAGUUGGGACUUAAGCUCUGACUGAGGACGACUAUCCAGCCCUGGAAUCCGAGCUCUACUGUUGGGGCAGGGGUUAGCCAUGGUCCAGUCCUAAGGCCUUCACCCUGUGUCAGCCCAGGUCUAGAGGCUCUUCUAAAACAUAACCCCAAGUCCUCUCCAGACUCAAUGAAUCAGAAUCUCUACAAGGAGACCCAGGAGUCCUUGUUUCCAAAAUCUCUCCAGGUAGUUCUGGCAUAAUCUUAGGAGUAGCAACUGAAAACAGUUAUUUCUGUUCCCAGCCCCUCCCCUUUUGCAGCCAAAAUCCUGGGGACAAGGAGGAAUUUUGGUACUUGGUUACCCUCCCUAGUGAGAUGGUCCCAUUUUAUGUUGAGUUCAAGGUUGUUGUUUUUUUCAGCCUUUCAGUAACGUUGGAAUUUGCCUCUCUGAAAUGUCUACUGAUGGUCUCAUUUCUGUGCUCUGAGACCAAAGAAAAUAUGAUUGAUUCCUCUUCCACCUCCCAACCCUUCUAGUACUUAGAGGCAAAAUGAGAAAUGGAAGAAGUAUGGAUUUAGGAAUCUUUUAGAACUGGGUUCAAAUUGCACCUCUGUGUAACACAUGCUACAGCAUGGAUGAACCUUGAUGGCAUUAUGCUAAAUGAAAAAGAAAAAAGACACAAAAGGACAAAUAUUAUAUGAUCCCCCUCACAUGAGGUACCUGGAAUAUGCCAAGUGAUUGGAACAGCAGAAUAGUGGUUGCUAGGGGCUGGAGGAGGGGGAAAUGGGCAGUUAUUGUUCACGGGCUACAGUGUUUCUAUUUGGGAUGACGAAAAAAGAACUUUUUGGAAUGGCUGCAUGUCCUUGUGAAUGUACUUAAUGGUACUGAGUUUUAUAUUUUAAAAUGGAGAAAAAUGGUAAUUUUUAUAUUAUGUGUAUUUUGUACAAUAUAAUUUUAUUUUAAAUUGCAGCUCUAUCAUUUACUAGCUGCUCCUCUGAGCUGAGGGUUCCUCAUAUGUGAAAUGGUUAUAAUAAUAUCUACCAUGCAUGGUGUCUGAUAGCUUUACUUAAAGUACCUAGCACCCUAUUUGUCUUUUCAUGGAAACUUUAGAGCGGAAAUGUUUAUAGGUAAUGUAAUCAGUGAUGGGGAAUUGGGUUUGUAAUAGCUGGUGAUAUUAACACUGAGAUCAAAUCAAAAUGAGCAGUUAGGGAGGGCAGAAUUGACACUUUAAGAAGUCAGAAUGCAAAUGAGUUUUAAGACAAAACACUUCAGGGACAUUUCAGCUUUUAGUGGUCAGUUGAUCGAUGGACUCAGACUCCUGUCAGGGCUCCUGGCUGGUUCUGUUCUGUGGUUAGGAAGUGGACAGUCUGAGAAGCUCUGGCCAAGACAAGGGUUCCCAAACCUGGCUGUACUUCAGAACUGCCUGGAAAAAGUAUUAAAUAUAUGGCUCCUGGCCCCAUUCCUAGAGCCUCUGAUUCAGUAGGGCACUAGUUCAGGAUUUCAAUGGAUUUUUUUAUGUUCCCCCAAGUGAUUCUGAUGUGCUUCCAGAUGCGAGGACCUCUGGGCUGGGGACUACUGGCUGCCUCUGAUGCCCAAGUCAUUCAAGUGGCUGUGUGAGGAUGGAUUUUGAAAUAAGGGUUGGGACGCCAUCCCAGAAGGCCAAGGAGCCAGAAAAAGAGAGGGUAGCCCUGACAUGCGAUGAGUCAGUCAAAGAAUCCAGGAAGUGGCCCCAAGGAGUCAGA